CAAACUUGAUGGUGUUUAUGACGUCGAAUAUCGACGUCAUAAACAUGAAACUUGAUGGUGUUUAUGACGUCGAAUAUCGACGUCAUAAACACCAAAC